CGGCUGUCCGUUUCCCGGGCUGUCGGGUCGCGCUGUUCCGGUGCCCUCCCUGACCCACUACUGCGCCACGCUGGGCUAGGAUUGGCUGAAAAUUACAGGACUUGAAUUCAGACAAGUAACGAAUAAUUUUUUUUUUAGUGUAAGUAUAUCCAGGACAUUGCAUGGGAAAUACUUAUGCUAAAAAAAUUUUAUUGGGUAUCCUGUAGUUUUACUUGCUAGAUCUGGCACCCCAGCCCCAGCCUGACCCUCAGGACAUCCCACUGAGCCCAGGGUCCCCCUCAAAACCACAGGCCCUCAUUCCAGCUCUGUGAGCUCCACGCCGGUGCCCUCACCCUUGAGACAGGCUGUCGCAUGGUUUUUUCCUGCUGCUCUUACAGACCUGGCUGCACCCCUUCCUCUGGCCGCAGAGGGGGUGCAUCUUGUCCCUUGA
rnacentral:lncRNA from 1 species